CAAGUAAGCCGGACAGCCGCGGGGGCGACCCUGAGGAAAGUCCGGGCUGCACAGGGCGAGGAUAACGGGUAACACCCGCCGGCGGCGACGUCAGGACAAGUGCAACAGAAAUAAACUGCCGCGGCUCCGGUCGCGGCGAUGGUGGAAAGGUGAGGUAAAAGCUCACCCGACGGUAUGGAGACAUACCGCCGCUGUAAACUCUAUCCGCAGCAACUUUGGGAACAUAUCCGGCUGCCCGCCGGUUCCCUUGCAAGGCUUGAGGCGCGCGGCAACGCGCGUCCCAGAUAGAUGGCUGUCUAUAACAGAACCCGGCUUACAGGCUUGCUUGCGGC
rnacentral:RNase_P_RNA from 1 species